GGGGUGCGGGCGGGACCCCCGGCCACCCCAUCCCUUGCCCCGGCCGCGUGUAGGCGCCGCGCGGCCCCGACCCGCGCCCUGCGCGCUCCUGUGCCUCGGGGACCCCGCGCGCUCGGCGCUGGUGGGGGCUCCCCAGGUGACCGCGGGGCAGGGGUCCCGGGCCCGGCCCUCCCGGCCGACAGCAGCGUCCGCGCCCCACGCUGGAGGUGGGGCCGGGGCCGGGGCUCGGGCUGGGGCCAGGGUCGGCCGGAGCGCGCAGGGCGGGGGAGGGGAGGCCGCCCCACGGCGGCCCGCGGGGACCCGGUUCCGGCGCGCGCGGGAGGCGCCUCGUGCGGAGGCGGCCCGAGGCCUAGUGACAGGCGCGCGGCGCGGACCCCGGAAGCCCACCUGUCAGAGUUACCGGUCAGCCGGGCGGGCGCCGCCGGGGUCUGGGGUGGACGCCGCGAGCCUGCACGUUGCGCCGGGACCCCGGGGCUGUGCCCAGGUGGGUGGUGGGGCACCCCCCUGCAGCGGCGGGAGGGAGGCGCUGCGCCCUGGCUGCCGGGGCUCGGCCCCACCCUCGGCCGCUGGGCGGGCCGUCGGGGACCUGGGGGUCGUGGUGGUGACCCUGCGGGCCCGCGGGCCACUUUUUCGCAGGGGGCAUUUCCGUCUGGCGAGGCGACUUAAAAUCCUGAGUGUGGGAGUCGGUUUGGCCAGCUCCGCUCUCAGGAUGGAGGGUGCCUUUGGGAAGGAAGAAAAAUCAUUUUUCUUCUCUGGGAAGGUGAACAUUUGUAGCAUUGAUUUCCCGGAUCUGGUAACAUGGCAAAAGAUUGUUUAUUUUCAGACUUUUAAAGCGUCUGAAGCGGGAUGAAGGUGAAAGAUGGAAGGAUCUGAUCUCUGAAGCUGCGGUCACCACCCACAAGUUGUGGCCUUGGAUACCACACUGUGCAGUUGGGUGGUGAUGGGGUGGUGCCUUCUGACUUUUUCCUUAUCUUUACCGACUGUGUUAAUUGAUAAUUUUAAAUAAACGCCUUAAUUAAAUUGAGGUGGAGGGUGUUGCAGCACCACAGCGAAUCCUGCGUUUCUUGGGGGGCUUCCACAUGAGAUGCUGGACGGGGGCCAGGCUCAGGGCUCAGGCUGUAGCCACCUGCUGGCACCUGUCUUCCUACAGAGGAAGUUAAUUCCACUUGGGUGGACCAAGAGCUAAGCACUUGUUUUGGCCACUUUUUUUCUCAGAAGGAUGAGAUUUCCUGAUUUAUGAAAUCUGGUAAAAAGUGCUACUUAGUCUGCUUUGCAGUUGUCAUGAAACUAUAGAAUAUUUUGAAAAUUUUUUAAAGCCAGAAAUUUAGUCUAUUUUAUUGGUGUGCGGUUCUUUACCGUGCUUGGUUAUGUCAGUCACUGAAACACCAGCUGGAUUCUUUAGUGUUUCCCACCGCGCAUCGCUCUGUAACUGAGUGAAAGGGGCUGUUGAUGUGUUUACCUACUUACCGCAGAGUUGGAAAGAGUCCGCACAUGCUGCCUCUGCCUGAGAUACAUCUGUAGCGAAAAUGCAUCCAGAGUGUGGAGCCCUCUCCAUUGGCGCAGAGGUUUCAGUGGUCCCUGCGAGGCCUUUUGGGGUGUCUGCCCUCCCUGACCUGCGACCAGGCAUGUCACACGGCAUCCCUGCCUUCAAGCACUGGGGUCCCCUUUAGAGAGGGUGUGUGAGCACCCAGGUGGACCCAAUGUGGGUUUUUGAAGUCAUAUCUGUGUGUGCUGCGAGGCUACUUUUAUCCUCUCCACUGUGCUUGUCCGUACCAUGCCCUGACCUCGUGCGGGCAUGCACUCAGAAUGCCAGAUGUGGGCAUGUGCUCAGUGCGCAAGCCAUGUUCAUUACGUCUCCUCACGGUGAGGAGCUGGACCCAGGGCCUCGGUUAGAGCACGCUUCUGGUGUUGUGUGGUUUCCUGUGUGGUUUCCUCAGAUGGUUCUCAAACACGCUUUGAUACAUAAUGGAUGGUGUCUUCGGUGCCCUCUUUCAUUCCCCCUUGAUUUCACUGGCACUGUCUGUGAGCAGCAUGUAGUGUGAGGCUGGGGGUGGGGGGCGUGUGGAAAGGUGGUCCGGCUCUGCAGGACCCUGAAUGCUCCAUCCAGUGUGGGCACCUGAGACGCAGCAUUUGUCAGGGACUGCAUAGGCACAGGGGCUGGGGGCUCACCUUGCACUCAGGGGUUGUGAUCUGAGUUGGGGGUUGGCGCUGGGAGGAGAGUAGGAUUCUACAGCUGGUGAGGCCUUCCCUGCUCAAAGCCUGGGAGUGGUCAGGAGUGCUGGGUCUGGAUGGAAAGUGAGGUUGUGAACAAGUCAAGGAAUUUGAUGUUUUCGC
ensembl:lincRNA